AUGUGUGGGAAAAUGGAAAGGAAAUGGAGAGACAAAGAAGAUGGAAUGGAUGAAGGAAUUGGAAAAUGGAGAGGAAAUGGUGAGACAAGGAGAUGAAAUGGAUGAAGGAAUGUGAAUUGGUGAUUGAGAGUGAGAGGAGAAGGUGUUUAAAUAGGGAAGAAAAAGAAGAGUGAAAUGAUGAGAUGAAGAAAAAUAAUGAAAGUGGAGUAUGAGAGUGGUUUGUAAAAUAUGUAAAAGAUGAGGUAAUGAUGAAAGCAAAGCAUGAAGGUGAAGAAAUGUGGAAGUGAUGAUGAUCUUUUAGGGUAGAAAAAUUGUAUCCAAGGAAAAAGAAAUGCUUUCUUCAUAUGGGUGGGAAACAUGAAUAUGUGGUGUUGAGCUGUUUUCAGGUCAGUUUCUUCCCCUUUAUUCCUUCAAUUAUUUCUCCAUCAAAACUUCAGAAUGAGCCUUCGACUUCUUCAUAAAAAAUGUUCCACUAUGAGUGUAUAUCAUCCUCACAAAUUUUCAGAGCUUUAUUCCAUG
rnacentral:lncRNA from 1 species